AGAAACUCGUGGGAUCAUCCAGUUGGGCUCCCAAUCCUUUCAUUUGUUUUUGUUUUUUUGAAACAGUCUCGCUCUGUCGCCCAGGCUGGAGUGCAGUGGCCAGAUCUUGGCUCACUGCAACCUCCCAUCUGCCAGGUUCAAGUGAUUCUCCUCCUUCAGCCUCCUGAGUAGCUGAGAUUACAGGCACCUGCCACCACACUCAGCUAUGUAUUUUUAGUAGAGAUGGGGUUUCACCAUGUUGGCCAGGGUGGUCUCAAACUCCUGACCUCAAGUGAUCUUCCUGUCUUGGCCUCCCAAAGUGCUGGGGUUACAGGCUUGAGCCACCGCACCUGGCUCCCAGUCCUCUCAUUUGUAAAGAUAAGGAUGCUGAGUCUAGUGAGGUGGAGCAGCUUGCCAAGCCCACACAACUAGUUAAGGCAGAGCCAGCAUCGAAGCCCACAUCUCUUGGCUCUCAGUCAAGUCCUUUCCACUGUACUAAAGGAGACCAUAUUUAGAAAAGAUUAAAAUGCUGAAAUUUUCUCUCCACAUCUGUAUUUUAAAGAAAAGGAAAUCUCUAAUAUGAAUUAUAGUCACUAUUUCCAGUGUUUAACUGAAAAAUACUGGAGCUCUGAAAAAUUUUCAGGUUUGUCCUUCAUAAUCUACAUGGAAAAUAAUGAAAAAGCCAACUCCACCUCCCGCUAUGAACAUACUGCUCACUGUCUGAUGUACUGGGUGUACAGCUGCUCUGAGCCUUUCUCUUGAACACCCUUCUAUUUAUUUUAUUGCAAAGUUAUUGUGGAUUUUGGAAUCAACUGAAGUAUUUCUUAGUUUACAACAAUGUUGUUCAAGGUUCACCAUUAAAAAUCAUAAUGGUAAAAAUACUAACAGCCCUUUCCUCUAUUAGAAAUAAUUUGAAAAGUACCUUAAGAUAAUAUUUCAGAGGAACAUUUCAACUUACAGCAUAUCUGACAUUCGUCAUCUUAAUGCCUGGAAAAGAAUUCUUGUCAAGAAGGAGUUUGUUCUUUUACUAGUAGGAAGUGCAUUACUCUAAGUAUAUAUGCUUGCUUCAGCUCUCUGGAGGAUCAGAGUAGUAAUAAUAAUAUAUUUCUUGAGUGCUUACUAACUGCUAAUCUCUGGAAUAAACCUUUACAUGCAUUACCUCAUUGAAUUCUCACAGCUACCUCAUGAGAUUGUUAUUAUAAUCCCUACUUUACAAGUGAAGUAAUUAAAGUUGAAGAUCAUCAGGUUGAUAAAUGGCAGUGACUGAAAUUUAAGCAAUCUCAGUUCAGGCCCUAGCUCUGUGUUAGCAUGUGAAGUCUCCUGAGGAAGAGACUGCUUCCCAGGCUCGACAUUAUUUGGUUAGGGCCUUGGUCAGGAAGGACUUUCUGCAUGGAGUAAUGACCAGGUUAAGACCUGAAGAGACUACAGUGGUGGAGUACAUGGGCAGUAGGCACAGACGGCAGGGGGUAACUGCUAUUCCCUGCUCAUCAGAUUCUACCAGCAUUAUGUCAUUAAUAUAGAGGAUCAGCAUGAUGGCUUAUGGAAUGGUAAAAUAAGUGAUCGUAAGCCAGUUGCUCAAAGACCAGUGUGGAAAAGGCUUAAGAAGGAAGAGCACCAGAGGGAAAUUACCAUCUGGAGACAAAAUGACACUGGGAACUUGGAGGAAAACGUUCAGGCACACCGUAUGAGGAAGCAGAACACUGGUUGUAGGUUGUGUGUUGAUGGCUUUCUAUGAGUAAAUGCCCUGAAAAUGUAUGUGACUAAGCACCAUAAUGUGGAUUUCUGAAAGCUGAAUGACUUAAAGAAAAAUCUUCUUAUUUCUAAAAAAAUCAACAAGUGGUUUCUUUUAGCAAGUUCUUAAAUUUCUGUAAGGCAUGAAUGAUCUAUUAUGUAAGGAAAGUGUUUCAAUACAGGUAUUCUGUCCUUAAGUGUCAUGGAAACCAAACGUCCUAUAAUGCAAAGCUCUGCUGCGUGCAGAUCUGUCCUUCUUUCACUACUCUCUUCCAUAUUUAUAAUGUCUCUAUUCAUAGUUUAUGUGAAUAAUAAAGGCUGUGGAGUCCCCUGGAAUUCUUAUUUACUAUGCUCCCAUUUCCUUAAUUAUUAAAAGUUUUACACCUUCAUAAGAGAUGCUUAGUUGCUAGAGCCUCUCCAUACACUAAUUCCCAGAAGAUGCUUAAGACAUGAGUCCCAGGAAGGUAUCCAUUGCAGGAAUUCUGGAUAGGACUGUGAGCUUAUGGACAGACGUUGAUGCAAACUGACUUGAGACAGUGCAACCGUUAAGGUCCCUUUAGAAAAUAUUGGUAGCUGCAAAAUUUUGGGGGGAGAUGCAGUUUAUAUAUUUAUCCACAACAUUAUUACUAGUUUAUAAAUAAAUGUAAAUCUCAAACCAAAUUAUUAAACAAACACAGUUUACCAAGUAUGAACAAAACUGUGAAAAUUUGAUAACAUUCCCACUCUCAGUCCUUUCAAGUGCCCUUCUGAAGACCACCUUGCUUAAAACGUUUACUUGAAACAAUUAUAACAAUAAUCUGGAGGCAAGAUUUGGCUAAUACUAUAUCUGCCAUCACAAAAACAGAAUUCUCCACUGCACUGUCUGGACUCCAGUGCAAGUAAGAUCUAAGCCUCAAGCUUUGUGUCCAAAGAUCCUUUCAUGCAAGGGUGGGAGGUAUCUCUAAAUCUUUAGACAACACUCAUAUCUUAAAUACCACUACUGUUACCAAUAAGGACCUAUUUGUAAUAUUCAUUAUGCUUUCAUACAAGCAUGAUUUUCACAAAUGAAGCCCCAUUUCUUAUAUGCAUUAUUUUAAUCAGCAAAAAUCUAGCACUGACAAGAUAAAAAGAUAGCCGAAGUCCUUGUAGUACAUUUCUCUGAAGUGUGGACUUUCUGUUACAUGCUAGGUGAUCAUUCCUGGAAAGUGAAUUACCAAUUAAGGGUAUAAAUUAAACUAAAUAACACAUACAUAAUAUCACACAUCAAUGUUGAUAUAUUUUAAAGUAAAUUAAAGGUAGGCAAGUCACUAUUCACAAUAGCAGAAACAUGGAAUAAACCCAGGUGCCCGUCAACAGUGAAUUGGAUAAUGAAAAUAUGGUACAUAUGCACCAUGGAAUACUACACAGCUAUAAAGAGAAUGAAAUCAUGUCUUUUUGCAGCAACAUGGAUGCAGCUGGAGGCCAUUAUCCUAAGUGAACUAACGUGGAAACAGAAAACCAAAUACAUGCUCUCGCUUAUAAGGGAGCUAAACAUUGGGUACAUGUGGACACAAAGAUGGGAACAAGACACUGGGAAGUACUAGAGGAGUGAGUAAGGGGAGGAAUUAAAAAAAUACUUGUUGGGUAUUAUACUUACUAACUUGGUGACAGAUUCAUUCAUACUCCAAAUCUCAGCAUCAAGCAAUAUACCUUUGUUAAAAAUCUGCACAUGUACCCCCGAUUCUAAAAUAAAAGUAAAAAAGAAUAAAAAAAUUAAAAAAUUAAAAUGUGCAUUUGUUAUUCUGAAAUUUUCGGGGAUUAUAAGUGUUUAUGGUUUAAAAAGUUCAGGCUCAGGCCAGGCAUGGUGGCUCACACGGGUAAUCCCAGCACUCUGGAAGGCCAAGGCAGGCCAAUUGCUUGAGCUCAGGAGUUCCCAGCUUUGGCAACAUAGCAAAACGUUUCUACAAAACACACAAAAAAUCAGUAGGAUGUGGUGGCAUGUGCCUAUAGUCCCAGUUACUUGGGGUGCUGAGGUGGGAGGAUUGCUUGAGCCCAGGAGGCUGAGGUUGCAGUGAGCCAAGAUUGCACUACUACACCCCAGCGUGGGUGACAAAGUGAGACCCUGUCUCAAAAAAAAAAAAAAAAAGUUCCGUCUCAGGGAUAUUGCAGGAUUCAAGACUAGUAUUUUAGCCAUAUUGAGAUUUAAGUAAUUUUGCAUCAUAAUGAGGAAACAAAAACAACUGUGGAGUAGUAGCUCCAGAAUUUCUGACUCUAUUUGGAAGGAGGGUCUAGGAAACUUGUAUGGAAGCUCUGUUUGCAUAACAGGCCACUUUUUUACUUGGAUAUUAUGCUUAUUUGGAUGGUUUUGAACAUGAGAUUAUGGGUGAUCUGGCUUUGGUAUUUUCACCAGCCAAACUUGUGAAAUAUUACCCUUUAAAAAGCUGGGGUGGGUGUGUGUUUUGUUUUUAAUAAUUCAUCUGUAAUAUGUAUAAGGCAUUUAUACCACAUUUAAAAAUUUUUUGAAUGUUCGAUAAUUUUAAUCUAUAAGAGAGACUAAAUUAUUUGAUGAAUGGGAAGCUUUAUUGCAGAGUUGAUUUGAGCUCCACAGAUGACAGUAAGAGAUUGUAAAAGUUCAUUUUCUAUAACACUAAACAUUAGUGUAUACUAGGAUCUAAACAUAAUGGCAGGUCUAAUAACAAGUAUGUUUCUAGUCUAACAAUAUAGUAUUAUUUUAUAUUCAUAAUAUUUGUUUUUUCUAAGGAAGUAGUAAAUUGGAGUGUAACACAAUGAUCAAUCUAAGUGUUGCCAUAACAUUUAUAGUUUCAUUAGCCAAUUAUAAUCUUUGAUUGUGAUUUUUGAAAGCUAUUUACAAGGACAGCUUAACCAGUAUAAGACUUCACUUUUUCAUCUAUACAAUUACAAUUCUCUCUUGAAAGAAAAUUGCACUUGUAAAUCAUUGAUGAUGAAAGAAUCUGUAUAAAAUUUUAAGUUCUUCCUUAGGCUGCAAAUUAUAAUGAAAUUUUUAAACAUAUGGUUGUCAAUUAGUGUGCUUUUUUCCUUUUGAAAUAAACACUUCUGCCUUAAAAUCUUGCUCUUUUCUUUAGAAACUGAAGCCAUUUGUUCUUUGUUUUUAAAGUCUUUAAUCUUAAAACCUAUUUUAAAUUUCAAAAGGCUUAAAGCUUUUAUGUGGUCCCUUGAGCUUAGGCAAGAAAUAGAUUUUGGGAUCACUAACAUAUGGAAGAGAUUGGAUAAGAUCAUCCUGAGAGAGAAAAUGUAAUGAGAAAGAAUAGGACAGAGGAAAGAGCUCUGAGGGAUGCCAGCAUCUAGAAAAAAGGAAGAAAAGGAGUUCACAAUAAGAGAGAAGGGAAAUUUGGAUAUUAUGACAUCUUGAAUGCCAGGGAAAAAGAUGAGUCACUGUUUUACAUUUCUGGUUAGGUUAUAGAAGGUUGAAAAGACCAUUGAUUUCAUUGUAUCUAUGGAUAAACUAAAAAUAAUGUUUGAUAUGGUUUGGCUGUCUCCCUACCCAAAUCUCAUUUUGAAUUCUAGUUCCCAUAAUCCCCCAUGUGUCAUGGAAGGGACGUGGUGGGAGGUAACUGAGUCAUGGGGGUGCAUGGGGGUGGUUACCCCCAUACUGUUCUCAUGAUAGUGAGUGAGUUCUCACAAGAUCUGAUGGUUUUAUAAGGGGCUUUUCCCCCUUUUGCUCGGCACUUCUCUCUCCUCCCACCAUGUGAAGAAGGAUGUGUUUGCUUCCCCUUUUGCCAUGAUUGUAAGUUUCCUGAGGCCUCCUAAGCCCUGUGGAACUCUGAAUAAAUUAAACCUCUUUCCUUUAUAACUUACCCAGUCUUGGGCAGUUCUUCAAAACCCAGCGUGAGAACGUACUAACACAAUGUUUGUAUUUUAAGUCAUCAAAGAGUUGUAGAAUCAAAUAACUCUAAAGAAACUGAAUUCCAAAGUUAGAUAAACUUAUCUAGAUUAUCACAAGUCAAUGGCCACUUGCAUUCCGAGGGUAGUCUGGGGAUCUGUUUCCCUUUGUCCCAACAAUUUGAGAAAGAAAAUUAUUAGGACAAAGGGAAAACAAUCAAGCUAGGCUGACAUAAUGGAUUGAAAUCUGAAAGAAAUGUAAGAGCCCUGCCUUCUCAUCAAUUUUCUCCUAUGGGAAUUUUGCUGAAUAAAGUCACACUUGUUGUGAAGCUAAAGCUGCCCUCAAAAAUAUAUUAAGAAUAUCUGCAAUGCAGAAUUUAUUGGAUUGGAUUAAUAGCAGACUGAAUUAAAUAGAAGAAAUUAUUAGUGACAGGCCAAUAGAAAUAAUAAAACUGGAGUACAUAAAAAGAUAUUUUUAAAAGUAUCUUUUUAAUUUAAUUUAAAAAUUAUCAUUUUAACAGAACUGAACAGAAAAGCAAAUAUCUGAAAGAAAAUAUUGACAGUCUAGUAUGCAUGUAAUUGGCGUCCCAGGAGAGCAAAUGGAGAAUGAGGUAGAAAUAUAUAUAUGAAGAGAGACUAGCCAAUAAAUUUUAAACAAUUUAAAAUUUCAAAUUUUUAAAAAAGCAACUGGUUAAAAAUCUGAAAUCAUAGAACUAAAAGGCUUAGUGAACACCAGGCAGAGUAAUUACAAAGAAAAUCUUGCCUGGGUACAUCAUAGUCAAACUAUUUAAAACCAAAGAUAAAGAGAAAGACCUUACAAAACACCUUAGGUAUGAAUGAGAAAUGACUAGCUACAAAUAAUGAGGGAAGCCAGAAGACAAUGGAAUAACCUUAAAAUGCCAAAAGAAAAUCAAUACAUACUUCUUUAUCUAAUAAAAGUAUUGGUCCAUUUGCAGGUGAAAUGAAAAUGUUUUUAGACAGCAAAACAUAAGAUUAUUCAUCACUAGCAGGAAAACAUGAAGAAUACAAAAAUUAAGAAAGCUUCUUUAGGAUGAAAAGAAGUAAGCCCAGGUGGAAGACUGGAUCUCCAUAAAAAAAAUGGAGAGCACAAAAAAGGGUAAAUAUGUGGUUGAAUAUUUUAAAACAUUUAAAAAUUUUUUUUAGCUGUUUAAAGCAAAUACAGUAACAAUGCAUUGUGGAAUUUAAAAUAAUAAAGAAGUAAACUAUAUAACAAUAGCACAAUGGGAAAGGAGACAUAUAUAAGGUCCUUACAUUGUUUUUGAAGUUGUAUACUAUUAACUUGGGGUUCAUUGUGAUAAAAUAAGAAUUAAUAUUGUAAUCUGUAAGUAAUCACUUAGAAGCAAUAUGCAAUGAAAAAGCCAACAGAAUAGAUAAAAUGGUAUACUAAAACUAUUCAAAUAAUAUAUAAAAAGCCAUGAAAUGUGGAGCAAAGAAAAAGAAAAAGAGAAAGGACAAACAGAAAUCAGCUAGCAAGGUGGAAAACACAAGUUUAACCAUAUCAGUAAUUACAUUAAAUAUUAAUAGAAUAAAAACUCCACUUAAAGUACAGAAAAUAUCAGGUUGGAUUUAAUUUAAAAACAAGACCCAACAAAUCAGUUUAUAAUUGGAUGUUCUUUUAUAAUCCAGCCUAACAUUAUCUAGCCUUCAAACAUAAGAAUGCAAAGAGUUUGGAAAUAAAAGGAUUAGGAAGCUUAUAAUAAAAAGAUUAAUGUAGCUAUAUUAACAUCAGAUAAAGUGGAUUUCAAGCCAAUAAGUAUUACCAGGAAUAAAGAAAACAUUUCAUAAUAACCAAAGGGUCAAUUCAUUGGGAAAACAUGAUAAUUCUAAAUGCAAAUGCCCCUAGUAACAUAGAUUCAAAAUAUUUGAGAUAAAAUCAAACAGAAAUAAAAGGGAUAAUAGACAAAUCCAUAAUCAUAGCUGAAGAUUUUAACUCUCCUCUUUCAGAAAUCUGUAAAUGAAGUGUAAAAAAAAAAAUCAACGAGUAUAUGGUGGAUUUGAAUAAUACUGUCAAGCAGCUUGAUGAAAUUGAAAUGUAUAGAACAACAUACUCAGUAAUUGCAGGAUACAUGUUAUUUUUAAAUGCAUUCAAAACACUCGCCAAAAUAGGCCAUAAACUGGGCCAUAAAUUAAGUUGCAAAACAUUUCAAAGGAUUGAAAUCAUGCCGAGUAUAUUCUCUGACUUAAAUGAAACUAGAAAUCAGAGUUUAAAUAAUAACUGGGAAAUCCUCAAAUAUUUGAAAAUUAAGAAAUAACUUUUAAAAUAAACCAUAGGAGAUAUCAUAAGGGAAAUUUAAAAAUAUUUUAGAUCAAACAAGGAUGAAAAUACAACAUAUCAAAUUUUGUGGGAUGCAGCUAAAGCCUUGAUAAGAGAAGACAUUUUAAUACUACAUGCAAAUAUUAGAAAGAAAAAUAAUUUUAUUUAAAAAAUGUAAUCUUCCACUUCAGAAAGCUAGAUAGAAAAGAGCAAAUUAAACUCCAUGGUUGUAGAAGAGGAAAUGACAAUGAUGAGAACAGAAAUCAGUGAAACAGAAAACAGAUGAACAAUAGAGAAAACCAACAAAUCCAAAAGUCAAUUCUAUGAAAAGAUUAAUACAAAUUUGUAAUCCCCUAGCAAGGCCAGUUAAGAAAAAGUAAAAAAUAUAAAUUAUCAAUAUCAGCAGUAAAAUGAGAUACAUGACUACAGAUUUAAAAGAAUAAGAAUAAACAGGGAAUAUUAUAAACAAUUUUACUCCAGUAAGUUUGACAACUUGGGAAAAAUGUAUAUAUUCCUUGAUAAAUACAAUUUUUUGAAACUAAUCCAAAAAUAAAUAGAAACUAUAGAAGUCUCAUAUUGGUUAAUAAAGUUGAAUCUACAAUUAAAAACAUUUCCACAAAGCCCAGAUGGCUUUAUUAAUGAAGUCUACCAAACAAUAAAGGAAGAAGCAAUACAUUCUAUACAAGCUCUUUCAGAAUAUACAGGAAGAGAAAAUGCCUUCCAACUAGCUUUAUGAGGCCAGAGAACCGUGAAACCAAACUUGGCAAGUGCAAGAGAACAGGUCCCUGGGUGGCCUUGGCUCACCCAGUUCUUCCUCCCGUUGCUUGCAAUUCUCUUGCUGAAUGUCCUGAGAAUACAACAUCCUAAGAUAAGGACGAAAUGCCUGGAAAAAGUCCAGAUUAUGUCUUUGAUCCUCUGCAUUAGUCCAUUUUCAUGCUGCUGAGAAAGACAUACCUGAGACUGGGCAAUUUACCAAAGAAAGAGGUUUAAUUGGACUUACAGUUCUACAUGGCUGGGGAGACCUUACAAUAAUGGCUAAAGGCAAGGAGGAGCAAGUCACAUCUUAUGUGGAUGGUAGCAGACAAAUAGAGAGCUUGUGCAGAGAAACCCCCAUUUUUAAAACCAUCAGAUCUCUUGAGACCCAUUCACUAUCAUGAGAACAGCGCAGGGAAGACCUGUCCCCAUGAUUCAGUUGUCUCCCACUGGGUCCCUCCCACAGCAUGUGGGAAUUAUGGGAGCUACAAAAUGAGAUUUAUGUGGGGACACAGAGCCAAACCAUAUCAUUCUGUCCCUGGCCCCUCCCAAAUCUCCUAUCUUCACAUUUCCAGUUUCCAGUUUCCAGUUUCCAGUUUAAAAAUCAGUCAUGGCUUCCCAACAGUCCCCCAAGUCUGAACUCAUUUCAGCAUUAACUCAAAAGUCCACAGUCCAAAGUCUCAUCCUAGAUAAGGCAAAUGCCUUCUGCCUAUGAGCUCGUAAAAUCAAAAGCAAGUUAAUUACUUCCUAGAUUCAAUAGGGGUAUAGCCAUUGGGUAAAUAUAGCUAUUCCAAGUGGGAGAAAUUGGCCAAAACAAAGGGGCUACAAGCCCCAUGCAAGUCAGAAAUCCAGUGGGACAGUCAAAUCUUAAAGUUCCAAAAUGAUCUCCUUUGACUCCAUGUCUCACAUCCAGGUCAUGCUGAUGCAAGAGGUGGGUUCCCAUGGUCUUGGGCGGUGCUAUCCCUGUGGCUUUGCAGGGUACAGCCUCCCUCCCGGCUGCUUUCACAGGCCGACAUUGAGCGUCUGAGGCUUUUCCAAGCACACGAUGCAAGCUGUUAGUGGAUCUACCAUUUUGGGGUCUAGAAGACGGUGGCCCUUUUCUCACAGCUCCACUAUGUGGUGCCCCACUGGGCACAGGUACCAAUGGUAUUAAAAAGCUGUAGAGACACAUUUAAAAUUUAUACAUUCUACUCUAUUUUAUUUAUUCCUGAAAGCACUGAGAAAAAUACAAAAAUGCUGCAUAAAUUAAAAUAAGAUCAGCACUGAAAAGCAUCCAUUGGAAGGAGGCCGUUGAUUGCCUUCUUUGAGAAUAAUAAACGUGAAAUCAGUUUAGAUAGCAUAGAGAGAAAGAGAUGGAGACACUGAAUAUAGUUAAUUCUUUUAAGAAGAUUUGCUAUGAGGAAAAGGAAAACAGAUUUGAUGGCAGUAGGAGGGAAACGUGCACAUUUAUUCUUUAGGGCCAGAAGGGAAAGGAUGCCUCAUAGAUCUGAAAUUCUUUUAAUUUAUAGUUAUUAUGGGAAAAACUAAAAAAUCAGAAUAUUCAAAGCAUUUCCUUUUUUGUACAGUUUUAGAUUUACAGAAAAUUUAAGGGUAUAAUAAAGAGUAGUAGCAUCGAGUUCCAUAUACCUGCUUUUGCUUUCCCCUGCCCCCACCCCACCCUGUAUAGUUUCCCUUAUUAUUAAUAUCUUAUAUUAGUGUGGUACGUUUGUUACCAUUCAUGAACAAAAUUGCUAUAUUAUUAUUAACUGAAGCUCAUGGUUUACAUCAAGUUUCAAUCUUUCCAUUGUACAGUUUUAUGAGUUUUGGAAAAUGUGAAAAAUGCAUGAUGUCAUAUAUAUAUUAAUACCAUAACAGUUCAAUGCAGAAUAGUUUCAGCAUCCUAAAAAUUGCCUGUGCUUCACCUAUUCAUCCCUUCUCCAACCCUCUUUUUUUUUUUUUUUUGAGGCAGAAUCUCUCUCUCUCUCACCCAGGCUGGAGUGAAGUGGCACGAUCUCAGCUCACUGCAACCUCUGCCUCCCAGGUUCAAGUGAUUCUCCUGCCUCAGCCUCCUGAGUAGCUGGGAUUACAGACGCGUGCCACCACUCCUGGCUAAUUUUUGUAUUUUUAAUUGAGACUAGGUUUCACCAUGUUGGUCAGGCUGGUCUUGAACUCCUCACCUCAGGUUAUCCACCCACCUCAGCCUCCCAAAGUGCUGAGAUUACAGGCGUAAGCCAUCGCGCCCGGCUCCUCUUUUUGUUUAUAAAUAGAAAAAUUACCAAACUAUCUCCAAUCCUUAGAACCCCUGGUAACCAAUGAUGUUUUUACUGUCUCUACAGCUUUACCUUUUCCAGGAUGUUACAUAGUUGGAAUCAUACUUCUUUUAUCUUAAAAGUUAGCUCUGCACAUUUGCAGUCAAUCUUUUCUUUUACCCCCAGCAUCAGACAACUACUGAUCUGUUUUCUGACUCCAUAGUUUGUCUACUAUAAAAAUUUGUAUACAUAUAAUUAUACAAUAUGCAGAUCUUUAAAAUGGCUUUGUUAUUAGCAUAUUUAUCAAUUUCAUCUGUUUGUUGCAUGUAUCAGUAGUUUGUUCUUUUUAAUUGUUGAGUAGUACUCCAUGGUAUAUAUUUAUUUACUGCAGAUUUUGGAAGAACCAUUCUUGUUGUAUGUAUUUUUUAGGUUCCAAAAAUUUGUUACUGUUGUCACCUCUCUUCUUGUGAAUUUCUGUCGUUAUAACAUGCAGUUAUAGUGAAGCUUUUGAGACACUGAAAUUGAAGGUGUCUGCUAAAGCUACUCUUUAAACUCAGAAGUUUUUUUUUUUCCUUUACUUCAUAAGGUGAUAGGUGAAGACUUGUCCCAUCAUUUUACUGUGAGGAGAAUAAUUACUAUGACAUUUCAAGUAUGUAAAAUUAAAAUAUAUCUAAUGAAC
rnacentral:lncRNA from 10 species